UCCGCACCGAGAGAGGCGCCCGGCGUCAGCGGACCUCCAUGUACGACAAUUUGUACCUGCAUGGAUUUGAAGACUCGGAGGCGGGCUCAGCAGAUUCGUACACAAGCAGACCCUCAGACUCUGAUGUCUCUUUGGAAGAAGAUAGGGAAGCAAUCCGCCAAGAAAGAGAACAACAAGCAGCUAUCCAACUUGAAAGGGCAAAGUCCAAACCAGUAGCAUUUGCUGUUAAGACUAAUGUGAGUUACUGUGGAGCUCUGGAUGAAGAUGUUCCUGUCCCGAGCACUGCCAUCUCUUUUGAUGCCAAGGACUUCCUACACAUUAAAGAGAAAUAUAAUAAUGACUGGUGGAUAGGAAGGCUGGUGAAGGAGGGCUGCGAGAUUGGCUUUAUUCCAAGCCCGCUUAGACUGGAGAAUAUCCGCAUUCAACAGGAGCAGAAGAGAGGACGUUUCCAUGGAGGGAAAUCAAGUGGAAAUUCUUCUUCAAGUCUUGGAGAAAUGGUUUCUGGCACAUUUCGAGCCACACCGACUUCCACGGCAAAACAGAAACAGAAAGUGACAGAACACGUUCCCCCAUAUGAUGUGGUACCGUCAAUGAGACCUGUUGUCUUGGUGGGUCCGUCACUGAAAGGCUAUGAGGUGACAGACAUGAUGCAGAAAGCUCUCUUUGACUUCCUGAAGCACAGGUUUGAUGGGAGGAUAUCAAUAACUAGAGUGACAGCUGACAUUUCUCUUGCUAAGAGGUCUGUUCUAAAUAAUCCAAGCAAGAGGGCAAUAAUUGAGCGGUCAAACACAAGAUCCAGUUUAGCUGAAGUACAGAGUGAAAUUGAGAGAAUCUUUGAGCUGGCAAGGUCCUUACAACUGGUUGUCCUAGAUGCAGACACUAUCAAUCACCCUGCACAACUUAUCAAGACAUCUUUAGCACCAAUUAUUGUCCAUGUUAAAGUGUCUUCUCCAAAGGUUUUGCAGCGACUGAUUAAAUCUAGAGGAAAGUCACAAAGUAAACACUUGAAUGUUCAGUUGGUGGCAGCUGAUAAACUUGCACAAUGCCCACCAGAAAUGUUUGAUGUCAUUUUGGAUGAGAAUCAGCUUGAAGACGCUUGCGAGCACUUGGCAGAAUAUCUCGAGGCCUACUGGCGUGCUACUCACACCACCAGUAGCACACCCAUGACUCCUCUCCUUGGGCGAAAUUUAGGAUCCACUGCACUUUCACCAUAUCCUGCUGCAAUCUCUGGAUUACAGGGAUAGCUCAAAAACGGCUGAACUUUGAAACUUCAAACGUGGCAUGUAAAUAGUCCUUAAUGAGAAGUACGUGCUUUACUAAGUUUGAAAACAGAAAAAAAUGUUUUUGAUUCAUAGUUAUGAAUGCUUGAGAAGAUCAGGAUUGCAGCGAACUUUUAAGUCUGAAAGUCAGAAGGAGUUCUGUAUGUGUGUGACUUAGGAGUGUGCACUUUCUAAUGUAUGUCAAAAGUAGAGUUGAGCAAAUUACAUUUAAUGAAUAAUUCACCUGACAAAUUUAACCUCUGUUCUGCUUGUAGACUAUCUGGAAGCAGGUAACAAUUUUGAAGGAAAUGAUGCAUUGCUCGGUGUUUUCAAUUAACGUAAAGCUGUUUUUUCUGUGAGAGAAUUGCACUUCACUGAGGGUGCAUGAGACUCGAGACUCACGUUUCUAAUGCUGUGCUUGAUUUUACUAGGAUCAGUAAGUCACUGUUUCCUGACUGGCUGAAUGCACAAGCACUGUUCUUUUACUAAUAACAUGCACAUGUAAACUGUUGUUUCCAUUUUCACUUGCCUUAAAAUUUCAGUUCUCCAUCCCUUCAUGACAAUAAAAUACCAUCUGCAGAACUUUCACCUCUUCGGUUUCAUUUUGAAAACUGGGUGUAUCCACAGAAUUUUUUUCAGGCAUUUAUUUCUCUCUGAUCAAUGGACACCAGCAGUAACUGUGAAAUGUUGCUCCAUUUACUUAGGGAAAACUCACACUGAAGAUGAAAAUCACCCCUGUGCAGUGGGCUGGCUGAAGAGCCAGCGUAUGAGGCACAGCAGCCAUUCUACAGAGAACUCUCCAAUUGAGCGACGAAGUCUAAUGACCUCAGAUGAAAAUUAUCACAAUGAAAGGGCUCGGAAGAGCAGGAACCGCUUGUCUUCCAGUUCCCAACACAGCCGAGAUCACUAUCCUCUAGUGGAAGAAGAAUACUCUGACUCAUACCAGGACACUUACAAACCCCAUAGGAACCGAGGAUCCCCUGGAGGAUAUAGCCAUGACUCACGACAUAGGCUUUGAGUUCAAGAACCUGGGGAAAAAUAGGAUUCAUCAGUUGAUAACUUGCCAUAACGUAGCUAGGAAAAAAACAAAAAUCAUCUUAAUUUGGCAGAUGUAACGCAGUGAUACUGAAGUUGCACUCUGCUGUCAUUUGAUGUUAAGUAGGGGGCAAAAAAAAGUUACCAUGCCCUUACGUUUAUGCCCAAUCAUAUAGGUUGUGUUUUGGAUUUUUUUCUUUUUAGUACAGCAUUUGCAUUUAUAACCAUACUUUUUCUUGUCAUUAGGUAUCAGACACAUCCGUUUGUAAUUUAGGGUACUUAUCAAGGCACUUAUAAAAUAAUUUCCUGUGCUGGAAAUUCCAAAUGACCAGUUCCAGUUGGAACCACUUUAUAAACCAAUUCCUGUUGGAAUUUGGGUGAAUUGACUGGAAAGUCGACUUGAGCAUGUUGCAAUCAAUUGAAAAAAAAAAUACAAAUGAAAAAUCUGAAAAUUACAAACCACUAGAAGCCAGAAAGUCAGCUACAGUAUUUGUUUGCUGGAAGCUCAAUUUACAUUUAAAGUUAGAAUAAAAGGAUUUAUUCUAACUAUUUAUUUCCAGAAUGGCUUUUUCAGACAAACCAAAUGUAAACUAUCGAGAGUGCCAAAUAUCACAAAUUAUUGCAGCAGUUACAAAAUACUUUCCAGUUUGAAAUUAUUUUUAGACCUGGCAUGAAUGUUGCAGCAAAAUGAUUUCUUUAGUUUAGCCAGUACUGACAUUUUUGUUGCGGUCAGCAAUGAUGAACUAUGACAGGAUAAGGGGAGAGAAAAACAGGAAAAUGAACAAACUUAAGAACAGUUUGUAUGGCUAGAGGUUGGGGAUAGUCUCUUUUUUUUUUUUUUCUCUCUGAAUACAGCUAGUAGUCCCAAAAUGGAACAUCAGUGUAUAGAUACGUAAUAUUUUUUCUCCCAUUUUUAGUAUUCUGCCUUUUUAAAUGGAAAACAAUACACUCUUACCCAGUGGGUAGGACACCUUCAUUCCCGUACAUCUGAGUACCUACUGGUAUGUUCCAUCUUUUAAAAUCCAUCUUUGAAUGUCUGAAAAUUCCAGCUUCGCACAAGAACUCUCCAGAAGAUCAGUUGAAAUUUCAGUAAUGAAAUCUGAGGGGAGGGAGCGGGGUUAAGUAUUUGUAAAUGAUCAACAUUUAAAAUCACAUAUGGGUCAGAAUUAGCUUGCAAUAAAAAUGGAGUAUCAGAAAAAAAAACCUCUGCUCACAGUGAAGUUGUGGAGCUGAGAUUUCUGAUUCAGAGAACUAUGAUAAAUCUUCGGAGAAACUGCUGCCUUACUUCCUAACAAUCACUUCCUUACACCUACUGAGUCUUCAGUUUCUUUAACUAGAUAAAUUUAUGUGAUCGGACCUUAUGUCUUACAUGAUCAGUGAAGCCUUAGAUCUAAUGUGAUUGAAAAAUUUCCCAUAAUUGACCGCUUUGUACAGCCCAUAAUGUCUUGAAGCAGAGACUCCUGAAUUUCCCCACUGCAUGCGUUUUCUAAAAUUGACAGAACUAUGCUGAACACGUGUUUUUUUAUGCAGGUUCAUGUCAAAACUAUUUUUUCAAAGAUUAGGAUCGUUAACUUUUAUAUUUGCUUAUUUUCUUCCCUGAGCCUGCUAAAAGUAGGCGUUAAAAGCAUGUAGCACUAAAUGAAUUUCCUGAAUAUUAUGGUUUCUUCUUCUUUCUGGACCAGUUAGCAAAGAUCACUGGUAUUUUCCACCACCGUUGAGUCUGGUUAUCUUCUUGAUGUUAACAACAAGAAAAGUAAUUCAUCUCAUAUCUGGUACAACCAAAAACGAUGUACGUCUCUCGCAGCAUUAAAAGAUUGCGAAUGCAUGAUUAAUUUUGUAAACAGCUUCGCUGCCUACAAGGCAGGCUUCGACACCACUAGAUGAUUCGGAUGGGCCAGUUACUAAGAAAAAAAGCAAAUUAUCAGCAUCCAUUGGAGUAACAGAGUUAAUGAUAUGACAGACCUGAUCCUGUCUGACUUUCUCAGGCUGAACGCCUGCAGAUUCCAAAAGAGCAUUUAGGCUGAGCGAGCACGGCAAGAUCUGGUCUGGGAGCGGUGGCUUCAGCUGCCUUCUCUCAUGUUUUCUGCUAUAGCACAGUGGAGCAUUCUCCAGGAAUUUUUACAAACCUUUGUUACGUGUACAGCACACAUACCUGCAUGAGAAAGAAGGCGUUAGGCAAAACGUUUUUUCUAUAAGCUUUAAUAAGUUUCUUGUUUGUGUGCAUUAAAGUAUUAAUUGCAAAGGAUGCACCGAGAUGUAUAAACCUAGAUUAGACAGCUGUUUAUCUUUAUUCUGUAGUAGCAUUAGGGAUCAGAUCAUUUAACUGCUUGAAGAUAUUUGCAUCUUAAUGGCAGGUAGCUGCGAAGCACCUACAUAUAUUUUCUAGUAAACAAGGUUACUGCUUUAUCAUCUCCUAGACGAAAAUGCCAUUUAUUUCUAGAGCCUUUUGGAGCCUUGUUUUGAAGUCUUCCAUGUCAUGCUAGUGAACGGAAGGAUCUACACACCACACGUGCACAAAUUCCAUCACCUGCCGCAUCUGAAGUGCCAAAACUACUUUCUUUGUUCUAAUAAAAACAAGCUUGUGAGGGAAGUCCUGUAUUGUCUUGAAAGAACCCAUUGAGUUCCUUUAUUAUGUGGGUUUAAGUUUACUUUCCUGCAUAAUUAGUUUACCCUUUCCUCUCUCACUGCCCAUUCCAUUUUCAUGUAAGGAACCAGUUAUAAGUGAUCCAGCAGAUCUCCUUGCUUGCUGGUUUUUUAUUCUUUGAAGAUAGAUCUAUCUUUAAGUACAGAUAUACCGAACGUGCUAAUAGAUGAUUAAUUUAUUCUAGAUACAAGCUAUGGGAAGUCUUUAUUUUAAAAAGUAAAUUAUUUUUAGGAAACACAGUAAUCUGCGUUGUCAAUCAGGACAUGUUAACUCAUAGUAUUUGUAUUAGAACUUCAGCACUGCUAGCCAGCUGUAUUGUGAUUUAUUAUGCAAUGGCGUUAUAUAAAAUUGUGAAGUUCAUGUAUUCCUGAAUGAAUACGAGUAAGAUGAAUUUCCCAGUCCUCGCACCAUUUCUUCUUGUUAUUAAAAUAUUAUUAAAGAUCAGAGUUUUGUUCCUAAGCUCUGGCUUAUUCAGAGGAGUUUAGAAAUGUUUAUAAAACAUUGAUAUUUUUUUUAAGUGGGUUUUUUUGUUGUUAUCUGAGUUUUUCAUGAGGACACUUACGGAUUAAUGACAAUUUAGCCAAUAAAGGUGAUAAGAACGAUCUCAAUAUCUAAAGACAAUAUAUGUCAGUGCAUUCAUAUGUUUGUGAGUGAAUUAACAAAGUAUUUUAAAAAUCUUCAAGCCACUUUAAUGAAAAUUGUUACAUUUCAAUCUCAAAUACUUUGGCAAGUUGUAUUUAACAGAUGUACCAGUUCCACAGAUGAAUAUUUAUCCCAUGGGAUGUGCAACUCACAACUGGUGAUGUUUUCUGAGUUACAUUCUGAAAUUAUGUUUAAAGGAAUGCAACUAAAGCUGUUCCACAGCCAGUUUUUUUUAGCUGCUCUUUAUGAAAUUUUAGCUCAUAAACAAUGGGCCAAAUUAGAUGGUCAUUUUCUAAGUCAGCCUGGUGAAAAUCAGUUCCUCUGCUUGAGAAUGGAUAGUGCAGUACGGCCCGACACCUCAAUUUUACCAUCUUGCCACAGAAAUCGGGUGCCCCCCCCGUUUUGUCCUUGAGCAAAGCAGCUUCCAAAGGCAGCGCCGUCACCUCUUGCUACUCGCAGUGUCCCUCGCUGCUCCCCCAGCUGUGUCCUUCUGACUGAGCUGGGACGGGCCCCGGUGCCGUAAGCGCGCGGGGGAUCGGAGGCGGCGCUGGGACGGGUUUGCCCCAAAUAGAAAAACACUUUGUGGGGUUUUUCUUCAGGUUUGAAAGCUGCUUCUGAAGUUGACGUCAGGGGGUUUCAUCUUUUGUGCUCCUUGCUUUUAAAACAAAGUUUUAUAUGUACUUAAGAGAGUGAAAAUUACAAAAAGGAGGCAAGGUAGCUGUAGGAGUAACAAGAUGGUGGUAGUUCCUCUGGAUGUGCGUAGGCCCAUAACUUCAAGUUCAGUUUGACUGCAAAUCUCCUGAAUUCACUUCAGUCUUAGUACCGUAGACUUCUCUGAAACAUCCCAAGAUCUCCUACCUUUACUGACAUUACCAUUCUUAAAGUAAUAUUGCUAAUCCUGUCACUGAUUUGGGUGAGUUAGGGCUUUCAUUAGUCAUUUUUUUCUUCAAGAACAUAUUAAAUGUAUCCUCUGCUAGAUUUUGUUUUCCAAGUUCUGUGCUUCUGAAGCCUCUCCUUGAUGCCAAGGUCUUAUUAUUUUUGCUUAAAAAAAAAAUAAUUCAGAUGCCACAAAAGAAAAAAAAAAAUCAAAUGCGUAUUUUGUAAAAUGCCAUUUAUACAAAACUGUUUUCACUCCUAAAAAUGUGUAUUUUAAAAUUGGUUGGUAUAUACCCCAGUUGGUAUUAAUCCAGGUUUGGAUAGUUGGGGUUCUGCUGUCAUGUUUUAUUGCAGUUACUCCUCGUUCCUUCAAAUAGUAGUUUGACAGAGAGUAACAUGACUGCAAGAUAUUGUAACGUAGCCAGUUUUAACUCUGGGGGAAUUAAGUUCCCACUAUCUUUAAAAUGAUGCCAAAAGAGGUGUUAUUUGAAGAGUCAUCGUUUGCAUAACCUUUGUUAGAUUGUUACUCAAAUCUGAUUUAUUUUAUAUAGAAAAAUAAAGGCACGUCUUUAAAAAGAGACAUUUUAAUAAUGUUGUAAAAUAUAUGCAAGGAAUUAACUUGGAGAAAGAGCUGAAAAUGCUACUUAGUAUUGAAAUUUGUGUUAAGAUCUCUUUCAUUCUUUGUGGAAUCCGUUUAAGAAGUCAAGAGAAAUAUCGUACAAUUAAAUCCUCGUAGAGAAUCUGGGGAGAAGGUAGAAAUCACUUUAAACUGCUCGUGAGAGCGUGUCAUUCCGUGAGUCCUCUGAAGGUGGUGACACCGGGAGCAGCUUCGCCUUGGUCUCAGUGCUGCUCAGUAGACUCCCCUUUUCCCCUCACGUUUCUUGGCAGUGAGUUACUACCUGGACUAGAUCCUACAGACACCUACUCCUGGGCACAGCGUUUAUUCUUGCCUUCUCCAAAAGGCAGUAGCCGUGAGGUCUGACCAGAAACGUCACACCCUGAUUAUCAUAUGCCUUAUCAAUACGUCCUGAAAAAUAAAAUGUAAUUAAAUUUAAUGCCACAACCCCCUUUGAUAUUCCUUCUACUCUGUAUAAGCAGUAAAAAAUCACUAUAGUGAGAAAAUAUAUUGUACAGUACAGAAUAAUAUAUUUUGCCAAUGAUGUAAAAACAGAGCAAGGAAGAAGAAGCACAUUUGUAAUAGCACAAAUUUACAGUGAUUCCACGAUGGCAUUUGGCAUUGUAUUUUUGAAAACAAACAAAGGGUAGAUUUUUUGAUCCCGCAUCAGUGGAUUUAUUGCAUUUUCGAUCAGUUUAACUUGCUGAUACUUCAGUUUAUUUCUAAGCUUUGCAUUUUGCCUAUGUGAUUGGUUUUUUUCACUAUCUUGUAUUCCUUCCAUAUUAAUUAAUGAAAACAAAAAGAACCUUUCAAAAUGAGAAAGUCCGCUGCGUUCAUUUCUGCUAAUUUCCUCUUCAAACCUGAAAUUACAUUAAUAACUUCUAAUUUUGGCCAAUAUAUACAUUUUGGCGUACGACUGAUGACUACAUCGUGAAAACACCAGUAGCCCAAGGUCAGGAAUGAAAUACUCCUGGUUAGUAAGUUCUUAGGGGUACGGAGCUCCUUGCUGUCGUGUGUGGGGACGGGGAGGUGAGGAGAGAAGGACGUGACACCCCAAACUUCCACCGAUGCUGCUGGGAAUUUACAGCGUGAAGGGAAGUCAGCUUAAGGAACGUGGGCUGAUUAGGCCCAAGGUGUAUUUAUGUUUGAAACCCACCCGGUUCUUUUCUGUGCAGAGAAAGUCGGGGAGAGGUUGUACAAGAACAGCAUAGGAAGAGAAUCAAGCAAAAUGCAAAUGUUACGUAUGCGUGAGAAAUAGAGGGGAGAAGAAAGAAGAUGAAAACGGUCAUUCAAACUGCAAACUAUGGACCUUGGGCUUCUCAGAUCCCUGAAAAACUCUGUUUCUCACCCAAACUGGUUCCCAGUGAUAGCCUGGCAGUGUUACCCCCAGCCUCACUGGGAGCCAGUUCAGAAUCACGCUGGUAAAGACAUUACUGCCUUUACUAAAAAAAAA